rnacentral:rRNA from 1 species
GACGUAGGGCGCGAGCGUUGUCCGGAUUUAUUGGGCGUAAAGAGCUCGUAGGCGGCUUGUCGCGUCAACUGUGAAAACCCGUGGCUCAACCAUGUGGUCUGCAGUCGAUACGGGCUAGCUAGAGUGUGGUAGGGGAGAUCGGAAUUCCUGGUGUAGCGGUGAAAUGCGCAGAUAUCAGGAGGAACACCGGUGGCGAAGGCGGAUCUCUGGGCCAUUACUGACGCUGAGGAGCGAAAGCGUGGGGAGCGAACAGG